UUUCCGUAGGUGAACCUGCGGAAGGAUCAUUACCGAGAGCCCCUCCUCUGCGCAGCAAUGCGUCGUUGAAGGGGCUAUUCUCACCACCCUUCUUUAUGCGUACCUUUUGUUCUUCCUCGGCAGGGCAGCCUGCCGGUGGAACCUCAUCGUGAACCUUUUGCAUCUAGCAUUACCUGUUCUGAUACCCUAAAUCGUUACAACUUUCAACAAUGGAUCUCUUGGCUCUG
rnacentral:misc_RNA from 1 species